rnacentral:rRNA from 1 species
GCAAGUCGAACGGUAACAUUUCUAGCUUGCUAGAAGAUGACGAGUGGCGGACGGGUGAGUAAUGCUUGGGAACUUGCCUUUGCGAGGGGGAUAACAGUUGGAAACGACUGCUAAUACCGCAUAAUGUCUUCGGACCAAACGGGGCUUCGGCUCCGGCGCAAAGAGAGGCCCAAGUGAGAUUAGCUAGUUGGUAAGGUAACGGCUUACCAAGGCGACGAUCUCUAGCUGUUCUGAGAGGAAGAUCAGCCACACUGGGACUGAGACACGGCCCAGACUCCUACGGGAGGCAGCAGUGGGGAAUAUUGCACAAUGGGGGAAACCCUGAUGCAGCCAUGCCGCGUGUGUGAAGAAGGCCUUCGGGUUGUAAAGCACUUUCAGUUGUGAGGAAAAGUUAGUAGUUAAUACCUGUUAGCCAUGACGUUAACAACAGAAGAAGCACCGGCUAACUCCGUGCCAGCAGCCGCGGUAAUACGGAGGGUGCGAGCGUUAAUCGGAAUUACUGGGCGUAAAGCGCACGCAGGCGGUUUGUUAAGCUAGAUGUGAAAGCCCCGGGCUCAACCUGGGAUGGUCAUUUAGAACUGGCAGACUAGAGUCUUGGAGAGGGGAGUGGAAUUCCAGGUGUAGCGGUGAAAUGCGUAGAUAUCUGGAGGAACAUCAGUGGCGAAGGCGACUCCCUGGCCAAAGACUGACGCUCAUGUGCGAAAGUGUGGGUAGCGAACAGGAUUAGAUACCCUGGUAGUCCACACCGUAAACGCUGUCUACUAGCUGUGUGUGUCUUUAAGACGUGCGUAGCGAAGCUAACGCGCUAAGUAGACCGCCUGGGGAGUACGGCCGCAAGGUUAAAACUCAAAUGAAUUGACGGGGGCCCGCACAAGCGGUGGAGCAUGUGUUUAAUUCGAUGCAACGCGAAGAACCUUACCUACACUUGACAUGCUGAGAAGUUACUAGAGAUAGUUUCGUGCCUUCGGGAACUCAGACACAGGUGCUGCAUGCUGUCGUCAGCUCGUGUCGGGAAUGUUGGGUAGUCCCGCAACGAGCGCACCCUGUCUAGUGCCAGCCUUAGGUGGGCACUCUAAGGAACUGCCGGUGACAAACCGGAGAGGUGGACGACGUCAAGUCAUCAUGCCUUACGGUAGGCUACCACGGCUACAUGGCCAUACGAGGAAGCGGACGGAUGACGACUUAGAGUCGUAUCGGAUGGAACUUGGCAAAAU